GAUGAAGAACGCAGCGAAAUGCGAUAAGUAAUGUGAAUUGCAGAAUUCCGUGAAUCAUCGAAUCUUUGAACGCACAUUGCGCCCCCUGGCAUUCCGGGGGGCAUGCCUGUCCGAGCGUCAUUUCUGCCCUCCAGCCCGGCUGGGUGUUGGGCGCUGUCCCCCCGGGGACACGCCCCAAAGGCAGUGGCGGCGCCGCGUCGGGUCCUCGAGCGUAUGGGGCUUUGUCACCCGCUCGGGACGGACUCGUCGGCGCUGGUCUUCCUCCAGGCGACCCUUCGGGGCUCGUCUUCCUUCGGUUGACCUCGGAUCAGGUAGGGUUACCCGCUGAACUUAAGCAUAUCAAUAAGCGGAGG
rnacentral:misc_RNA from 1 species